rnacentral:tmRNA from 1 species
CCAAUUGCGCCAAGGCGCGAUCGAGCCUAUAUCAGGCAUGUUCGCGCAAGCGAACUAUGGCGAUAAACGCGCGUGUAAUAAGCGGCUCGGACCCGGGUGCGAUUCCCGGCGGCUCCACCAAUCGCGGUCGUUGGCUGCGCUGCGGGGCCGAUCAGGAUCGACGGACGUGUAAAGACGAGGCUUUCGCUCGGGUGGUCCCGAUAUAGGCCAUUGCAAUAGUUGCCAACGACAACUUUGCUGAAGAGGUUCGCUUGGCCGCGUAAGCGGUCCGGUGGAUUUCGCCUUAAGCCCUAGGCCCUUAGCCGGCCUAGGCGGGGCCGCCCGGGCGCCUGGCAACAGAAGCCCCGGGGU